AUUUUCUGCCACCGAAUACAUUAGCAUGGGAUAAUGGAAUAGGACCCUGUCCUCCUAUUUUCAGUUGGUUUUGGCAGCGCGAGGACUAGGGUAAUGAUUAAUAGGGAUAGUUGGGGGCAUUAAUAUUUAAUUGUCAGAGGUGAAAUUCUUGGAUUUAUGAAAGAUUAACUUCUGCGAAAGCAUCUGCCAAGGAUGUUUUCAUUAAUCAAGAACGAAAGUUAGGGGAUCGAAGACGAUCAGAUACCGUCGUAGUCUUAACCAUAAACGAUGCCGACCAGCGAUUAGGAGACGUUGAAUACAAAACACCACCAUCGGCGCGGUCGUCCUUGGCGUCGGUCUUUCGGGGCCGGCGCGGGGGCGGCUUAGCCCGGUGGCACCGGUGAAUGACUCC
rnacentral:rRNA from 1 species